rnacentral:rRNA from 1 species
CCUACGGGAGGCAGCAGUGGGGAAUAUUGGGCAAUGGGCGCAAGCCUGACCCAGCAACGCCGCGUGAAGGAAGAAGGCUUUCGGGGUGUUAACUUCUUUUGUCAGGGGAGCGUAGAAGACGGUACCUGACGAAUCAGCCACGGCUAACUUCGUGCCAGCAGCCUCCGUAAUACGUAGGUGGCAAGCGUUGUCCGGAGUUACUGGGGGUAAAGGGCGUGUAGCCGGGUUGACAAGUCCGAUGUGAAAUCCUGGGGCUUAACCGCAGAACUGCAGUUGAAACUGUUGAUCUUGAGUACGGGAGAGGCAGAUGGAAUUCGUAGUGUAGCGGUGAAAUGCGUAGAUAUUAGGAGGAACACCAGUGGCGAAGGCGGUCUGCUGGACAGCAACUGACGGUGAGGCGCGAAAGCGUGGGGAGCAAACAGGAUUAGAUACCCCUGUAGUC